UUAAUUACUUAGUUAAUUUAAUAUUUAUUGUAAAUAAUUUGAAUAUCGAUAGUUUUCGAUAGUUGAAAUAAUCGACACGAGCGCGCGUAGGCGUCGGCAAAGCGCUUUCUCAUUGGUCGACGCGCAGCCAAUGAGAGCGCGCUAUACCGAACAUGCGUUGGUGCUGUGCGCGGAGCUCAGUCGGCGGCUGGCAACCACCGGUGACGGUGGUAGUAGCUGGUUCUCCCGGGUUGAGACCCUCCGGGUCUCCUCGGUUGGAGAAGCUGCCAGGGGCCCCUCCCAGAGGAGGAGGGUGACCCCAGGGUGGGGACCAGGGGUGGCUCAGUUGGCAAACUGGGCAUCACUGCCUGGAGUCCAGGGUGAGGUAUGCUUAAGAUGUUUUACACCUUAAAGCAACCUGGAUUCUAGGUGAUGAUGUCUAGGUUGCCAAUGUAAAGCUGACUCCAUAAUGGGGUUUCUACCUCAUUGUAGAGCCAGUUAAGGGUUGUUCCACAACUGGGAAUUUAAGGUUAUGUUUACCCGUUAUACACAAUAGAGUCUCUAUUGUUUGUAAUGUGUCAACUUAACCUAAAAAAUCUCUAUUGUGGACACUUUCUGAGAACCUGGACAUUGGGAACCACAAGAAGAGAUGUAGUGAAAUACUGCAUUAGUCGCCAAGAGUCCGCACCAAAGAUGCCAGGAAGUGGAAGCAAAAAGACGACAAUUAAGAUGAUGCCGAUGAAGAGGGCCUACAAUAAAAGGAUGGAGGACAUGAGUUAGAGUGACCCCACACUCAUUCUCUCUAGUCAACAGCAGGAUUCAAAGAAAUCUUGAGCUUUUAUACAGGAUGCUGCGCUGAAAACGUUGUAAAAAAGGAAUUCAUAAUUGGGCGUGAAUAAAAGUGGCUCCUCCCUCACUCCCUCCAGUCAUCUUCGGGAUUAUAAAAGAUUUUGUGUUGGUCCAAAAGAUACUGCCACUGCCAACAUUCUGAGGAAGGAAUUUCUAAUUCACAAUUCCUAAGGAUCUUUAAGAAUAAAAAGAGAAAGAAGUUAAAAGUGAUGCCAAAAGUCAUCACAUCAUCAUUUCUCCUAGUUGUAAACAUGGGGGUUCAAAAGAAAAUACAUCUUAAAAAUUUUCAAGGACAUUAAAGACAAUACAAAAGAAGUGCCACCCCCUCCUCCUUUACUAUCCUGGAUCUACAUUAGCUGGUCCAGAUGAGGUUUUGAAGGAUAAAAUGAAUGACUUAGUCGAAGUGAUCUUUCUUGAAGUUUGCUAUCAUUGCUUGGAGGACAAUUAUCGGUACCUGGCCCAAGCUGAGGAAUAAAGAAAAUUAGUAAUUAGUGGGAUUUCCUGUCAUUGUGUAUUUUCUCUUCGAUGUGGAAAUCAAGGGCGCCAGUGAUCUUUGGCUCAUCUUUAUAAGGAGGAAAUGCGACGGCAUGGCAUAAAUCACCAAGGGAGGAUAUAUCGGUGUUCGGUGAGUCUUCCUAUUUCUUAAAUGACAUUCGAGCUUUCGCCAAAAGUCAAAAUCUUCAACUGGAAAGACUUCGGGAUCGCUGGUUAAUUCUAAAUGUACGCUGAUGUUCAUUUGGGAACAAGGGUCUUCGUUCGAUAAAGCAGGUCAUAACCGGUGUAAAUUAAUAUUUGCACGUGUUUCGAAAAUUCGCUAUAUUUACUUAAAAUUUGAUAUUAAAAAUAAUUUUCCAAACACAAAGCUUUAGCUUCGGGAGUGGUCGAAAUCUUAUCUGAAACCGCGAACGAUUUUAGGGUGUGCUUAAGUUUAUUUUUUGCCUCUCAGUAAUAUUUCUAAUUUUUAAAUUUUAUUUACUUUUUUUGCCGGAAGUAUUUCAUUUUUCCUUUUUUGUUUUUGAAAAUUUGCGUUUGUUCCCCAUAAGUAAUUUUUUAAAUCGUGUUAUCGGAAGUUUUCGAAAUUUUUACAUCAUUUCCAAGUGCUGCUUCAGAAUGGAGAUCGGAUUUGGGAAAAUUGAG